GCGGAUGCCUUGGCUCUCGGAGGCGAUGAAGGACGUGAUAAGCUGCGAUAAGCUUUGGGGAGGUGCAAAUGACCUUUGAUCCAGAGAUUUCCGAAUGGGACAACCCAAUAUCUUGAAGAGGUAUUAUCCAACGUUGUUGGAGGCUAACGCAGGGAACUGAAACAUCUUAGUACCUGCAGGAAAAGAAAAUAAACAAUGAUUCCCCCAGUAGUGGCGAGCGAACGGGGAACAGCCCAAACCAUCCAUGUUACGGCAUGGGUGGGGUUGUAGGACUACGCCGUUGCAUGAAGACAUCAGAGAAGAACUUUCUGGAAAGAAAGACCAUAGAGCAUGACAGUUGCGUAUUCGAAUGUUGUCGAAGCAUAGUAGUAUCCUGAGUAGCGCGGAGCACGAGGAAUUCUGCGUGAAUCUGCCGGGACCAUCCGGUAAGGCUAAAUACUCCCGAGAGACCGAUAGCGAACCAGUACCGUGAGGGAAAGGUGAAAAGCACUUCGAACAGAAGAGUGAAAUAGUUCCUGAAACCGUGCGCCUACAAGCGGUCGGAGCUCGUUAAUGAGUGACGGCGUGCCUUUUGCAUAAUGAACCUACGAGUUGCCUUUGCCGGCAAGGUUAAGUGUGACGACACACGUAUCCGAAGCGAAAGCGAGUCUGAACAGGGCGUAUAGUCGGCAGUGGCAGACGCGAAACCAAGUGAUCUACCCUUGGCCAGGUUGAAGGCUGGGUAACACCAGCUGGAGGACCGCACCAAUAAGCGUUGAAAAGCUUCUGGAUGAGCUGAGGGUAGGGGUGAAAGGCUAAUCAAACUUGGAGAUAGCUCGUACUCCCCGAAAUGCAUUUAGGUGCAGCCUUGCGGGUUACUGAUGUGAGGUAGAGCGACUGAUAAGAUGCGAGGGCUUCACCGCCUAUCAAGUCUUGACAAACUCCGAAUGCGCAUCAGUUCUACCGCAGGAGUGAGGGCAUGGGUGCUAAGGUCCGUGCCCGAGAGGAGAAGAAUCCGGACCACCUGCUAAGGUCCCGAAAUGACAGCUAAGUUAAACUAACGAAGUCUGACUGCUAAGACAGCUAGGAUGUUGGCUUGGAAGCAGCCAUUCAUUUAAAGAGUGCGUAACAGCUCACUAGUCGAGGAGUCGGGCGUGGAUAAUAAUCGGGUAUCAAGUUGUCUACCGAAGCAGUGGGAUCAUUUAUAUGAUCGGUAGGGGAGCAUUCCAGUCAGCGUCGAAGGCGUACCGUGAGGUAUUCUGGAGCGUCUGGAAAAGCAAAUGUAGGUAUAAGUAACGAUAAAGGGGGCGGGAAACCCCCUCGCCGAAAGACUAAGGUUUCCUGAUCAACGCUAAUCGGAUCAGGGUCAGUCGGGUCCUAAGGCUCAGCCGAACGGCGAUGCCGAUGGCAGAAACGGUUAAUAUUCCGUUACUACCUUCAGGAGUGACGUGGAGACGCAGUAGUGACAGUGCCGCCAUCUGACGGAAUAGAUGGUUGAAGGGUGUAGGAGUCGAUCAUGGCAGGCAAAUCCACCAUGAGAUCCGAACCUGAUAGUAUGCCGCGUCCUUCGGGACAAGGCAAUAGUGCGCGUAAGCAUGCUGCCGAGAAAAUCCGCUAAACUUAAUCCUGCAGGUACCCGUACCGCAAACGGACACACGUAGUCGGGUUGAAUAUACUAAGGCGCUUGAGUGAUUCACGGUUAAGGAACUAGGCAAACUGACCCUGUAACUUCGGGAUAAAGGGUCCCUACCCUUUUAUGGGAGGGCGCAGAGAAUCGGUCCAGGCAACUGUUUAACAAAAACACAGGGCUGUGCCAAAUCGAAAGAUCCAGUAUACAGCCUGACACCUGCCCGGUGCUGGAAGGUUAAGAGGAGAUGUCAUCGAUAAGAGAAGCGUUGAAUUGAAGCCCCAGUAAACGGCGGCCGUAACUAUAACGGUCCUAAGGUAGCGAAAUUCCUUGUCGGGUAAGUUCCGACCUGCACGAAUGGUGUAAUGAUCUGGACACUGUCUCAACCGUGAGCUCAGUGAAAUUGUAGUAUCGGUGAAGAUGCCGAUUACCCGCGAUGGGACGAAAAGACCCCGUGAACCUUUACUAUAGCUUAUCAUUGAAUCUGGGCACGUGAUGUGUAGGAUAGGUCGGAGGCUUUGAAGCAGGUACGCCAGUAUUUGUGGAGCCGCUGUUGAAAUACGACCCUUUAUUUGUUUGGAUUCUAACCCGUGGAACGGGGACAUUGAUUGGUGGGUAGUUUGACUGGGGUGGUCGCCUCCAAAAGCGUAACGGAGGCUUCUAAAGGUGCCCUCCGGCCGAUUGGUAACCGGCCUUAGAGUGUAAUGGCAUAAGGGCGCUUGACUGGGAGACUAACAAGUCGAUCAGGUAGGAAACUAGAGCAUAGUGAUCCGGUGUUUCCGUAUGGAAGGGACAUCGCUCAAAGGAUAAAAGGUACUCCGGGGAUAACAGGCUGAUCCCUCCCAAGAGCUCAUAUCGACGGAGUGGUUUGGCACCUCGAUGUCGGCUCGUCACAUCCUGGGGCUGGAGAAGGUCCCAAGGGUUGGGCUGUUCGCCCAUUAAAGUGGCACGCGAGCUGGGUUCAGAACGUCGUGAGACAGUUCGGUCUCUAUCUAUCGUGGGCGCAUGAAAUUUGCGUGGCUCUGACACUAGUACGAGAGGACCGUGUUGGACAGACCUCUGGUUUGCCGGUUGUGCCGCCAGGUGCAUUGCCGGGUAUCUAAGUCUGGAUCGGAUAAGUGCUGAAAGCAUCUAAGUACGAAGCCGGCCACAAGAUUAGAUUUCUCAGGGUCGUUGUAGACUACGACGUUGAUAGGAUGCAGGUGUAAAGGUAGAGAUACCAAAGCCGAGCAUUACUAAUUGCCCGUUCACUUUCCUUA
rnacentral:rRNA from 1 species